GCCGAUGUAGCUCAGCUGGCCAGAGCACGUGAUUUGUAAUCUCGGGGUCGUGGGUUCGACUCCCUCCAUCGGCU
rnacentral:tRNA from 1 species